AAUGAACGUUGGCGGCAUGGAUUAGGCAUGCAAGUCGGGGGAAUCCCAGCAAUGGGGGAACCGGCGUAAGGGGCAGUAAGGCAUGGGUACCUACCUUGGGGUUCGGGAUAGCCAUCAGAGAUGGUGGGUAAUACCGGAUGACGUCGUGAGACCAAAGAUUUAUCGCCCUUAGAGGGGCCCAUGUGAUAUUUGCUAGUUGGUGGGGUAACGGCCCACCAAGGCGAAGAUGUCUAGCGGGUGUGAGAGCACGACCCGCGCCACUCGCACUGAGACACUGGCGAGACACCUACGGGUGGCUGCAGUCGAGGAUCUUCGGCAAUGAGCGCAAGCUUGACCGAGCGAUGCCGCGUGAGCGAUGAGGGCCUUCGGGUCGUAAAGCUCUUUAGUGGGGGAGAAAAGCCGCAAGGUGUGAUCUAUCCCAAAAAUAAGCACGGGCUAAGUUCGUGCCAGCUGCCGCGGUAA
rnacentral:rRNA from 1 species